CAGUAGCCGCGGUAAUACGGAGGGUGCAAGCGUUAAUCGGAAUUACUGGGCGUAAAGCGUGCGUAGGCGGUUCGUUAAGUCUGUUGUGAAAGCCCCGGGCUCAACCUGGGAAUGGCAAUGGAUACUGGCGAGCUAGAGUGUGUCAGAGGAUGGUGGAAUUCCCGGUGUAGCGGUGAAAUGCGUAGAGAUCGGGAGGAACAUCAGUGGCGAAGGCGGCCAUCUGGGACAACACUGACGCUGAGGCACGAAAGCGUGGGGAGCAAACAGGAUUAGAUACCCGGGUAGUCCCUGUCUCUUAUAA
rnacentral:rRNA from 1 species